AAGUUAGUAAGGAUAAUGGUUCAGUUACUAGUAAGGUUGAAAACUAUUUCAUAAAUGUAUAAUUUCUUGAACAAAUCUUUGUUAUUCAGCAGUGUUAGAAAGAGGACCUACACACAACACAGACUGUCCUUCCCCACUGGAAUCAGAUUGCAUUAUCAUUGGUAUUGCCUGAAGCACGCACGGUUCACAAAUACCGUGACCAUCCUCAUUGAGUAUCGAUAUCCAUACGGAUCGCAUUCUGCCCUCAGGAAGGAAGAAUCCCACGGGAAGGAAGGAUGUUAUGGGUGAAACAAAGGAAAACAACUAUUACAAUCUAUGUACUGGUUUAUCAGAACCUAUUUUGAAUUUUUGAGGAGGUACAGGUAUGUUUUCUUGGACUUUUUAUUUAUCUUUUGCCAAAAAAUAUUAAAAAAUAAUUUGUUUUAUUAAAUAGCACUGCUUUGUGGACUGACAGUAUUAUUAAAGUCAUCAAAACAACGAUAAUGGAUACGAAAUAUAAAGGCUAUUUAGGACUAAUCUU